AGAGUUUGAUCCUGGCUCAGGAUGAACGCUGGCGUCGUGCUUAAGACAUGCAAGUCGAACGAUGACCCGGUGCUUGCACCGGUGAUUAGUGGCGAACGGGUGAGUAACACGUGAGUAACCUGCCCUUGACUCUGGGAUAAGCGCUGGUAAAACUGGGUCUAAUACCGGAUAUGACUCCUCAUCGCAUGGUGGGGGGUGGAAAGCUUUUUGUGGUUUUGGAUGGACUCGCGGCCUAUCAGCUUGUUGGUGAGGUAAUGGCUUACCAAGGCGACGACGGGUAGACGGCCUGAGAGGGUGACCGGCCACACUGGGACUGAGACACGGCCCAGACUCCUACGGGAGGCAGCAGUGGGGAAUAUUGCACAAUGGGCGCAAGCUCUGAUGCAGCGACGCCGCGUGAGGGAUGACGGCCUUCGGGUUGUAAACCUCUUUCAGUAGGGAAGAAGCUGAAAGUGACGUUACUGGCGGAGGAGGCGCGCGCUAACCAGCAGCCGCGGUAAU
rnacentral:rRNA from 1 species